AUGGCAGCGACGGCGGUCGUGGGCGCCGCUUCUCGCUCCCGUCUCCUCCUCCACCACCACCGACUCCCUCAGGUUCCAGCCGGUGGGGGAGGUUCGCUGAGGGUGGGCGCGCUCGGGGCCGGACGGGAUUGGAGACGACGGGUCCGGGUCGGGGUUAGGGUUUUCGCGCGCUACUCCUCCCAGCCACAAGACUUCUCUAGUCGACUCCAAGAUAGAGCUGGUGAAUUGCCGAAAUUAGUAGAGGAUCUUCUCCAGACGUCGAUUAGCACAGGGCCUCGAGGUGCCUUUAGGAUGGCGCAAGGGAUCCAAGCUCUCCUUGGGGUUGGUGGGGAGUGGCUAAAUGACUUCUCGAAGACAGCUAACACGUCAGAAGGAAUUCCAGCUCAGAUGCGUCUUGGUUUGCUUUCCCCUCUUUACCUCAGAAGGCUUUUUGAACGCAUGGGUGCAACUUAUAUCAAGCUAGGUCAGAGUUUUGAAGGGUACCAUAUGGACAAUUUGAGAGCACAUGACCUUUUUGGGGAUGGUGAUUUAGGGCAGUUCAUAGCGUCUGCACCAACUUCCUUUCCUGCAGAAUAUGUUGAAGAAUUCCAGAACUGUUUUGACCGAGCACCACCUGUUCCUUAUAGCGAGAUCGAGUCGAUAUUGCGUGAGGAGUUGCAGCGGCCAUUGGAUAGUGUCUAUGAGUACAUUGAUCCCGUGCCAAUAGCAUCUGCUUCAAUAGCACAGGUUCAUGGGGCUAGAUUGAAGAGCUCUCAGAAGGAUGUGGUGAUUAAAGUCCUGAAACCUGGAAUUGAAGAUACUUUGGUUGCCGAUCUGAAUUUUAUCUAUCUUGUUGCACGUGUUUUGGAGUUUCUAAGCCCUGAAUUAGAGAGGACAUCACUGGUAGCUAUCAUCAAGGACAUAAAGGAAUCAAUGCUUGAGGAAGUUGAUUUUAGAAAGGAAGCUGUAAAUAUGGAGGCUUUCCAGAGAUACAUCGAAGCAAUGGGAUUUGAUAGGCAGGCCAAAUCUCCAUUUGUGUAUCAGCACUGUAGCACAAAGCGUGUCUUAACUAUGGAAAGAUUGUAUGGUGUUCCACUCACCGAUCUUGAUUCUAUAAGGUCUCUUGUUCCUGAUCCUGAGUUGACUUUAGUCACUGCCCUCAAUGUCUGGUUUGGAAGCUUGAUCUCAUGUGAAUCCUUCCAUGCGGAUGUGCAUGCAGGAAACCUAUGGUUGCUUCGUGAUGGACGUGUUGGAUUUAUCGAUUUUGGAAUUGUUGGUCGAAUAUCCCCAAGGACUUGGGCUGCUAUGGAGAUCUUUUUGGCUUCUUUCGCAACUGAGGAUUACAAUGCUAUGGCAUCGGCCCUUUCCGAAAUGGGUGCUACAGGGAAUGAUAUAGAUGUUGACUCCUUUGCAAAGGACUUGCAAAAUAUAUUCUCAUCGCUACAGGAGUUGGAUACUGAAAUUAUAGUGGCAGCUGCAAGAAGUUCUGAUGCUGCAGCUGUAUCUGCUAAUGUUGUUGUAGACGAGAGGCAGAUGAAUGCACUGUUUCUUGAUCUGGUAAGGGUUAGCGAGUCAUAUGGGCUGAAAUUUCCUAGGGAAUUCGCUCUUCUCAUGAAGCAACUUCUUUAUUUUGAUCGGUACACUAGACUGCUGGCUCCCAGCAUGAACAUGCUGCGAGAUGAGAGGAUUAACAUUACUUCCAACAAGCACACCAGAAGAAUGAAUUGA
rnacentral:rRNA from 1 species